ACCUCGAUGUCGGCUUAACUCAUCCACAUGAAUGUAGAAAUCAUGAAGGGUUCGACUGUUCGUCGAUUAAAGAGUUACAUGAGCUGGGUUUAAUACGUCGUGAGACAGUAU
rfam:Trichophyton equinum CBS 127.97 supercont1.124 mitochondrial scaffold, whole genome shotgun sequence.